rnacentral:rRNA from 1 species
GACGAACCGUGCGAACGUUGUUCGGAAUCACUGGGCUUAAAGGGCGCGUAGGCGGGUCGGCAAGUCAGGGGUGAAAUCCCGCGGCUCAACCGCGGAAGUGCCUUUGAUACUGCCGGUCUGGAGGGAGGCAGGGGAGUGCGGAACUUCCGGUGGAGCGGUGAAAUGCGUAGAUAUCGGAAGGAACACCGGUGGCGAAAGCGGCGCUCUGGACCUCUUCUGACGCUGAGGCGCGAAAGCCAGGGGAGCGAACGGG